rnacentral:lncRNA from 1 species
AACGCCCUGUGCGGUGCCCACUCCGGUUCGCCCGCUCUCGGUUUCGGUGCGCCGGGCGCGAUCCUCGCCUUCCCUCUCCUCCGGGGAGGGUGGGUCGCUUCUCCGCGGCGCCUGGGCAGCCGAGAGGAAAAGAGAAGCCGUGAAGCUCCUCGGGGCAGGGGACGCAGGGCAGGUCCCGGGCUACCGAGGGAGCCGCCGAAUGGGCGGCGAAGCGCGAGGCGUCGCGGGGAGCUGCGGAGGUCCCAGGUCUGGCGGGAGGGUGGGUCCGCGCUCACGGCCGCGGAGGAGGGCGGGGAGCGGCGGAGAAACGAGGCGCUGGGCGGCUCUGCUCCUGGGAGGAAUCCCACUGUCCCGUCCCCUGGCGCUCCUCCCCGCGCCUCCCCCACCCCGGGGCGCGCGGCUGGUUCUGAACGGCGCGGCCCGGGGUCCCACUCCCGCCACCUCCCGGGCUCCGGGCCCCUCUUCCUCCCUUUCCCCCUCCCUUCCCCACGUUCGUGCCCGGCUCUGGUUUCUGCCCAGACUUUCUCUGAAACUCCGCCGGAGCGCUUCCAGCCAAAACAACAAGGGCCGAGGGAGGAGGGGACGGACGGAGGGAGGGAGGGAGCGGCGAGGGAGGGCGCGGAGUCCCAGAGGCACUCUGGGAUCUGUAGUCCGGGACGCGGGAGCAGGGUCCUCGGCCGCCCGCGGCCCCCGGCCGGCCCCGGAGCGCUCCCGGGAAGACUGCCGAGGCCUCGGGAGGACAGCCGGCGGGGCUCGGGAGCCGGGAGAAGCGAGGGACGUUGUCGCGUUCCGUCCGGGUUUGCCAUCUUGGCUCUGCCCGGGUGUCAGUUCAGAGUUUGUUCUGGGCACCGGAUCGGGAGUUUUGAGCAUUUUCUCCACUUGACAGCCUGAAAGGGGAAACGGCCGAGUGGGACACGGCGAUCCCCACCACGCGAGACUGAAAGGCUACGACCAGGAGGACGAGGCAUCGCGCCAUGGCGACCAGCCUAGAGAGGACAGAGGGGGACACCAGGACGGCCGCGGGCUGGUCCCGGAGCAGUCCUGCCAGAGUGGUGGGAGCGCUUAGUGGGGUCGAAGGACUUGAGUGGGUCUGUGGGACACGUUAAGGUCUCGCACUCCCUUUGUUUGUUGCCUGUUUUUUCCAUUUGGCUUUGUAUUUGCUUAAAAUCUGCCCUGGAGAUGUCGGAUUGGAAAGGGAAGCUUUGCUAAGUGUCCUAGUUCUAUUUGCCUACUCGUGUGUGUUUUAUAAUCAUUAUACCCGGUCCUGAAUUUAACACAGCCUGUAAUAGAAAUAUACUUACCAAUUUAGUUGUAACAAAGACCCAAAACAAAUUUUAGAAUAAUUUUUUUUUCAGAUAAAAAUACUAAGAAUAAGAAUACGAAGAGCUAAAGGAGAAUUUCUGAAAAACAACCGUUUCUUAUUGACAUAACAUUCAUAUUCAGCAGUCUUCUACACUUAAAACCUUGUAGAUUGUAGUAAGAGGUUAGAUGCUGGGUUGGUGACAAGACCUUAAGAAAGCUAAUGCUGGGUCGGUGAGGAACCCUAAAUGCAUCCAUGCAGGUGGUGGCAUGGGAUAGCAAGCAGUGUUGACAGAACUACAGCUUGUCGUCAUUAACGUGUUUCCUGAGAAAUGGCUCAAGGUGAGAGAAUAAUGGGUGGGACUAAGGAUGAGAGGGCAGUCUCAUUCAUUACUUCUGUAAUAGGUCAAGGAAGCAUUUGGCCAGAGUCAGAGUUGAAAAAACAAAGAGAGAGAGAGAAUAUGAAUGAAUCAGGUUUCUUUUGUGGACUAAUUAAAAGGAAUAAUUGUAAGCAGCAAAAGGAUUAGUCUUAGGGAGCCCAAAUGGAGACCCCCAAGUGAUCUCCAAAUAGGGAAGAAAGAAACUACUGAUGGUGCAAGCUCCAGUCCCCAAGCUGAGACAUUGACAAGAGGCCCCCAUGAUACUUCAUCAUUCAGUCACUCUUCAUUGGAUUAAUAUUCUAUUAGUGUCAUCACAGGGAACACCUCAAAAAUAUAAUUUAUUUAAGUAAUCUAGUAAGUUAUUAUCAGAGAAUAAGCUAGUAUUGUAAUGCUGUCUUCAGUUUUUCUACAAAAGCAUCUUUAAGCUGGGCACAGUGGUGCAUACCUGUGAUCCCAGUGGCUCAGGAGGCUGAAGCAGGAGGAUCUGGAGUUCAAAGCCAGCCUCUGCAACAGGCGAGGUGCUAAGCAACUCAGUGAGACCCUGUCUCUAAAUAAAAUACAAAAUAGGGCUGGGGAUGUGGCUCAGUGAGUGCCCCUGAGUUCAAUCCCCCAUACCAAAAAAUAUAUAUAUAUUUUAUAGACAACACACCUGCAGAGGCCUGGUUCAUUGGGGUUUAGAGACCGUCAUCAUUUGGGAGGUACACAGAGUAUUACAGAGGCUGAGUUUCUUCCACAUCUGAAUUCAUUUUCUCAGAUCAUCAGUUUAGUGGUCAAAUUGUACUGUCUCUGAGCUUCGGUUUUCUAGUAGGUGGAAUGGAAAAUGAUUUAAUACCAAUUUUGCAGAAUUUUAAUAAAAAUUAGAAAUGAUAGAAUUUUAAAUACUGGGUACAAUGUAGAUGAUGUUGAAGAACUCUGUGUUGUUGUUGUUGUUUUUUUAAGUUUAAGGCUUUUUAGAACACAAGUGAGUGGAAAUUUUGUGGCAGCUAAUAUACCAAAGAGAUUCGUUUUUAAGUAUAUAAGCACAUCAUGUGUUACAUAUAACUCUUACAUAUUACAUAUAACUCUUCCAAAAGAAAAUAAAUCAUCAAAUUUGCAUUCCGUUUCUCCCACAGGCAGUAUGUAAAUACUAUUUAAGUCAAAGUAUUAAUAAUUAUCAUUAUUAAGACUAGUCCAUUCUUGAGCAACUAACUCUUGGCUUUAGCAAAUUUAUUAUACCUAGUCCUGAAAUUAACAUGAUCCUGUAAUAAAGCUACAUUUCACAAUAUAUUUGAAACAAAGCCUCAACACAAAUUUUAGAAGAUAAUAGAAAUAAUCAGACAAAAGUGCUAAAAAUAUGAGGCCAUAAAUGACCGCUUCUGGAAAAAAUAACCACAGGCAUUUCCUUAUUAACAGAACAUUCACACUCAGGGGUUCCUCUGUGGUUGAAAAUAUUACAGACUAUAGCAAGAAAUUAGGCUCUGGGAUGGUGACAAGACAAAGGUCCUUGACUACAUCAUGGACCACACCCACUCCCUCCACUCUUAUCUAAAGUCCUUUUUAAAUGGAAAUUUGUAAUAUAUCUUAUAUUAGUUUGCCUUUAAAAUUUCCAGUAUAUUUUUUUCUUUAUUUCAAAUAAGGCAUUUGGGGGCUGGGAAUGUGGCUCAAGCGGUAACGUGCUCGCCUGGCAUGCGUGAGUCCCAGGUUCGAUCCUCAGCACCACAUACAAAGAUAUUGUGUCCGCCGAGAGGUAAAAAAAAUAAAUAUUAAAAAAAAAUUCUCUCUCUCUCUCUUUAAAAAAAAGAUUUAAAAAAAAAUAAGGCAUUUGGUUAUCUCAUUUCUAUCUAAGAAUCUUCAUAAAUAAUUUUCCUAUCUUCUACUGUAUAGUUUUAGACUAGUAUUUGUAGAGAUCAGCAAUGAGGUGAAGUUGAAGAUAAGUGUGUCUGGUAUGUAUAGUAUUUUUUGAAAAGAAAUACAUAUUAUUUUUUACAUUAUAUGCCAAUUUUAGAUUAUUAUUUCACAUUUUAUAUCUUUAUGCAUUAAAUAGCA